UUUUCUAUUAACCUUCAAGUUUAUUAAAUUACACCUUAGCCCUACUUUUAGCUAAAAAUACCCUCUCUCCUUUAUUAUUUCCUACAAGUCUCUAGUUCUAUCAUUCUCUCUCUCUUUAUCAUUCUCUCUAUUUUUCCACAAUCAUCUAAGUUUCAAGUACUUAGGCAAACAUUUGGAGCAAGUUUCAAGCAGCUAAACUAAUUCUUCAAGUAUUUAGAGUAAGUAUUUGGACAAAUUCUUCAAGUUUUAAUAUUUAUUUACGGUGCAUUUCCUCCAUCUCUUAUUUUCGUGUUUAAUUUUUAUAUUUAAAUUAUGGCUCCUACAAAGGUAUUAGGCAUACCCAACAUAUUUUUUUUAAAGUAAUAAAUGUGUUAGUUCUAGUAGUAAUCCUAAUCCUUUUGCUAAAACUAGAAAACGCAUAAAUGAUUAUACUCUGGUUGAUGAAACUUCCUUUAGCCUGUCCCCCGACUUUUAUUAUGUUAUUUCAGAGGAGUCACUAAAUAAUGAAGCUUUAGAACGACAAUUUGGCAAUGAUUUGGUAUUAAAUAUUAAUGAGGAAGAAGAAAAUGAAGAAGAUAUAUUAGAUAACAUACCCACUAGUCUAGUUUUAGAAGCUCUAACUCAGACCCAAUUUAGAUCUGGAGCUUUACUCCCUUGUACCUCCUACUAUGGGUAAGGUUACAACAACACGUCGGAGAACAUCACAUGUAUGAAAGUUUUUUAAAUUUUGAUAAUGAUGCAUGUAUUGCUACUUGUUCAAAAUGUAAAUUACCAUUUGCAUAUGGGACAGGUGAGGGGGGAGCGGGGUUGAAAAUUAAACACAAAUUUUUAUAAAUACAAGCUCAAAUAGAUGUUGGAGAGAUACUGGAUCCUAGCGGUACUUUUUGCGCUCCUACUGGUGAUUUACAACGUCCCUAUAAUAAAGAUAGAGAUAGCGAAGGUAUAGCAAAAUGACUGCUAUCUGUGGCUUACUUCUUACUUUCCGUCUCAUCUUGCUUUUGUGUAUUAUAUACAAGAGUCGCAUAAGCCUGAUUUGUCUAUAACCACAGUUAGAGAUGAUAUGUUUAAAUUUUAAAGUGACUAUCUUCAACAUAUAUGUUGUGUUGUCACUUUAAUUGUAAAAUGUCUAUCACUUCUGAUAUAGAUCAUAGUCCUACUGGCAAUGACUAUUUAAUUGUUAUAUGUCAUUUAACUGAUCAUAACUGGAAUAUGCAAAAACAUAUGAUUGGUUAUAAAAUUUAUUGAUUCAGAACACACUGGAGCAUAUAUUUCUGUUACUGUUCUAGACAUUGUUCAAUUUUGUGGUCUUAAUGCUUAUGCUAAUACCAUUACAAAAAUUUAGAAGUUAGAAUUUGUCCACUUUAUGGCUCAAUUUUCCAUGUUAGCUGUGCACGCCAUAUUUUUAAUUUGAUUGUAAAAGACAUAUUUAUUUAUUUGCUACUUCUUGUGCUAAAAUACAAUAUGAUUGUGUCUAUAUUUUGCAUGCUAAUAAAGCGAGUGAGAUUCGUGAAUUUAAAGAGCAGUGUAUCUAUGCUGAUCUUCCAUAUAGAAAAUAACUGUACCUAGUGACCACUGCGACACCAUGACUACAACGGUAAAAUCUGUGCAAUAUCAACAUCUAUAUAUAAAUAUAAAGCUGGGAAUUGGCCAGCUGAUGUAGCAUCCCUAUUUGGGCAGCUUUCAUAUUUAUCUUUUUUUUGGUUUUUUUUUAUUUUAUCUUUUUUCUUAUUUUUCAUGUCAAAACUCUACUUUUCCAGCCAUUUGAACAAAUUCAUUUCACUCAAUCAAUAUGGUAACUGAAUUUUUUACCUCUUAAUUAUAUGGAAGUUGAAAUGGUACAUCAUCUUAAAUAUCUGUUGUAACCGACACCACACCCAUUUUGCUAUUUAAUUCUGACUAUUUAUUUACUUUUCUAUUAAACUCUCAUUACUCCCAUUACAUUUCUCAUCAACCUAUAAGAGGAGCACUCUUUGGUGAAACAAAAUAGUUCUAUGCAUAGAAAUGAUGUACUUGUAUUUUCGCAUUUUUAUAAUUAUGUACUAGUAGGUUUUGCCAUUCUUCCGCAGAUUUGCAGACAUUGCUUUGUAGGUAAAAUACCUCUUGCUAUCAUUUAAUUUUAGUAAAAGCAAGCAUAUCUUACUAUUACAGUACUCUCUAUUCUUUCCUUUCAGCGGCGCAAUAGCAGCACGACACAUAACAUGUCACAAUGAAGUUUUUGAGAAGAAGGCAGUAGGAAAGGUUAUUACAGUUCAAAUUGUAUAGUAACACUUUUUGUAUUUUCUGUUUUUUUUUUU
rnacentral:lncRNA from 1 species